CCUGUAGCCUUCAUCUAGCUGUUCAGCAGUGCUAAACCUGCCAAAAAAAUUUAGUCUCAUACUAUUGUCUAGACGGCUGCGGCUACUUUCAAGCUGUUUUUCA